CGUUAUGUACUGUAAGAGUAAAUGUGUAAUACUGUAACCUUUCAGCAAGAAUGCUCCCAGGGAAAGGACUAGAGUUUGAAAGUAAGGAAUAUGAGGAUGUCAUGAACAAAGAAAAUGAGGUGGAAGACCUCAGUCAUAGCAACCACACCGCUGCAGUGGAGCCCAGUGCUUCAACAGCCAUCAUCCCAGGACACACUGUAUAAUCCAGCAUGCUUUUGGAAUGAUGAAGACCAGGUUCCAGGGCAUCUUCCUGCAAACAGGUGCACUACACCUUUGUAUCUCAUGUAAGUAACAGCCUUGUUCUGAGAUGUCUCCCCUGGAAGAGGUACCACCACACCAUCACUACUAUUGACAGUGGACAAUGGAAAGAAGCAUCCCAAUCCUCUCUACAGACCACCCUGUGUGACCACCCUGUGCUUACCAACCAGACUUCAUGUUCAGGCAAAUAUCAGGUUUGCUAUUCUAUUAAAAUUUAAAGCUUUUUAU